UACGAAGGUGGCAAGCGUUGUUCGGAAUCACUGGGCUUAAAGAGCGCGUAGGCGGCUUGCCAAGCGUCGUGUGAAAUCCCUCGGCUCAACCGAGGAACUGCACGGCGAACUGGCAGGCUUGAGGCGGGUAGGGGCGCACGGAACUCUUGGUGGAGCGGUGGAAUGCGUAGAUAUCAAGAGGAACGCCGGUGGCGAAGGCGGUGCGCUGGGCCUGUCCUGACGCUGAGGCGCGAAAGCCAGGGGAGCGAACGGGAUUAGAUACCCCCGUA
rnacentral:rRNA from 1 species